rfam:Glycine soja cultivar W05 scaffold583_3, whole genome shotgun sequence.
GAGUGUCAUAUCAUCAUGCCUUGCCACGGGCACCUCAUUGUCACAUCAUCACCUCUAAUGACAUGACAAUGAUGUGUCAGUGAUUGGACGUGGUGAUAUGACAUUUUGU